rnacentral:lncRNA from 1 species
GUUUUGUUUUGGGGGGGUUGGUUUGGUUUUGGUUUUUGUUUGAAGCAAGCUGAGAAGGUCAUGAGGACCAAUUCCAUAAGCAGCACUCCUCUGUCGGCUCUGCUGUAGUUUCUGACUUGAGCUGCUACCAACUUCCCUUGAUGACAGACUGUGGUAGGGGGUAUAAGCCAAAUACCCUCUCCCCCAGCUACUUUUAGUCCUGCUGUUAUCACUCCAGCAGAAAGCAACUAAUCCCAAAUCCUUAGGCCCACAACCCCAUCCCAGGCCCUGGGCCCUUCCCCACACUUGCCACCGAUGGUGCUUCUGUUGGCCUGGCUGGAGAUGCCAACUAAGGACAUGCUGUGCUGGGCCUGGGUAAAUAGGACAGUUCUUCUUGGCAGCACACCACAGUCCUGCUGAGAGGCUGAGCAUGUGUCCUGUGACCACCCCCAGAGCCUCCCUGCCAUUCUGCUGGAGCCUCUGUGGCCCACCACAGGCCACUUAGAGAGUGCCCUCAGCUAAUGGACAUUUAAAAAUGCAUGCCAUAGCUCCUGCCAGCUCCUAGGCUUAGAGGAAGCUCGAUCCCAUGGUCUCCAACAAAAGCCCAGGGAGUGAGGCCUGGCCUGAACCUUUAUCUCUAAAACCUGCCAGAGCUCCCUGCCCUGUUUCUGAGCUCUCUGACACCCCAUCUAGCUGGCUCAGGAUCCCCAAUUUGUCCUUUCGGAUCAAGGACAACCCUCAGCUGUUCUGACAGUCCUGUAGCUAGCAGGUGCUUGGCUCCAAAUACAGGUCACACCCAGAAUGCUCUGCUGCCUUGCUCACCUUCCAGCCUCCAGACGCUGCAGGCACCAGCUCCGGAGUGGAUUACGGUGGAAGGUUCAAGCAAAGCAUACUUCCAAUGUGGCACUGAUUCUUUGUGCCUACCUCUUGCCCGACUGUCCUAGAGUCUUAGGCCACUCUGCUUCUGCAGAAAUUUGGUCAGCUGACCAUUCACACUAUGUCCUUAGAUGCCCUGUCCCCCCAAGGUGCAGACAGUGACCCUUGGAGUGUGUCGUUCACCAAAACCACACAGGGUCAGCAAUCCAUCCCCAGACUUCUUCCCUCCCUCAUCCCUCCACUGGGUCCACGUUCCCUGGUUCCAUUUGUCCCUCCACUGGGCUUCUGCUCUCCCCAGGUGCCUGUAACAGGUGACACAGUGGCCAGUGACCUAUGCAUGCACGAGGAUGGAUAGUUCUUGUUGCCUCCCCCUCCUCUUCCCUCAACCCUAUUCCUUCUCCGGGUUUUUGGCUCAGCAGCUUGUUGGGUGUGAGCAAGCUUCCAGCUCCAAGAGUUGCUCCCCUCCCCCAUGUUCUGCAUGGGCUCGUACAGUAUAAACAGCAACCUCUGCUGCAGCAUGGCUGAACUUGUGUUCCCAGCAUGGAUGAUAGACGCCUAGGAAGGACAUCCUGGGGGUGUUUCCUAGGCCAUCAAGCACAGGGGAAAAUGCUGUCUGCUGUGAUGUGCCAGUUCAGAACCGGUUUAGGAAUUGAUGACUGGGAAUAUGAUGUUUGGCUGCCAGGAUGGUCUUCACUUGGUCUGAAGACUCAGGAUGCAGUCUGACU